rnacentral:rRNA from 1 species
GUAUAAACCCGGGAAACUGGGUAUAAUACCCGAUAGGUCUCGAUUGCUGGAAUGCAUCGAGAUUUAAAGCUCCGGCGCCUAAGGAUGGGUCUGCGGCCUAUCAGGUAGUAGUGGGUGUAGCGUACCUACUAGCCUACGACGGGUACGGGUUGUGAGAGCAAGAGCCCGGAGAUGGAUUCUGAGACACGAAUCCAGGCCCUACGGGGUGCAGCAGGCGCGAAAACUUUACAAUGCUGGCAACAGCGAUAAGGGAACCUCGAGUGCCAGGUUACAAAUCUGGCUGUCGAGAUGCCUAAAAAGCAUUUCAUAGCAAGGGCCGGGCAAGACCGGUGCCAGCCGCCGCGGUAACACCGGCGGCUCGAGUGGUAACCGUUAUUAUUGGGUCUAAAGGGUCUGUAGCCGGCCGGAUAAGUCUCUUGAGAAAUCUGGCAGCUUAACUGUCAGGCUUUCAGGAGAUACUGUCUGGCUCGAGGCCGGGAGAGGUGAGAGGUACUUCAGGGGUAGGGGUGAAAUCUUGUAAUCCUUGAAGGACCACCAGUGGCGAAGGCGUCUCACCAGAACGGACCUGACGGCAAGGGACGAAAGCUAGGGGCACGAACCGGAUUAGAUACCCGGGUAGUCCUAGCCGUAAACGAUACUCGCUAGGUGUCGGCCACGGUGCGACCGUUGUCGGUGCCGUAGGGAAGCCGUGAAGCGAGCCACCUGGGAAGUACGGCCGCAAGGCUGAAACUUAAAGGAAUUGGCGGGGGAGCACCACAACGGGUGGAGCUUGCGGUUUAAUUGGAUUCAACGCCGGA